UAGUCCAUGCCGUAAACGAUGUCUACUAGCCGUUGGGGCCUUUGAGGCUUUAGUGGCGCAGCUAACGCGAUAAGUAGACCGCCUGGGGAGUACGGUCGCAAGACUAAAACUCAAAUGAAUUGACGGGGGCCCGCACAAGCGGUGGAGCAUGUGGUUUAAUUCGAUGCAACGCGAAGAACCUUACCUGGCCUUGACAUACUAGAAACUUUCCAGAGAUGGAUUGGUGCCUUCGGGAAUCUAGAUACAGGUGCUGCAUGGCUGUCGUCAGCUCGUGUCGUGAGAUGUUGGGUUAAGUCCCGCAAUGAGCGCAACCCUUUUCCUUACUUGCCAGCAUUUCGGAUGGGAACUUUAAGGAUACUGCCAGUGACAAACUGGAGGAAGGCGGGGACGACGUCAAGUCAUCAUGGCCCUUACGGCCAGGGCUACACACGUGCUACAAUGGUCGGUACAAAGGGUUGCUACCUAGCGAUAGGAUGCUAAUCUCAAAAAGCCGAUCGUAGUCCGGAUUGG
rnacentral:rRNA from 1 species